rnacentral:lncRNA from 1 species
UGGCUCCAAAUCAGCUUUAUAACUUAUUCAUUAAUUCUACCAAAUCAUUUUAAACAAGGCAUAUUCAUAGGCAUCAUCUUUUCAUAUUCAUUCCAUGGUAUAUCACCUAAUUACCUUAUAAGCAAAUAAUAUACAUACCUAUCACAUAGCGAGUUAUCAUUAUCAUGAUCAUUACCGUUACACAUAUAUAUACAUAUGUUUCUCACAAUGCAAGCAAUAUUAAAAAUGGACAUCAUAUAUCCAUAAGACUUCUUAGGUACACGCCAAGACAAAAAUGGAAACAUCACCAAAACUUGAGUCUGAGAUUGUCACUGGAUGCUGAGUUGAUGAUUUAGUCGAAAAGUACAUAGCCUGCGUACGAAAAACAAAAUUGUAAGCUGAGUAUAACUUAGUGAUAUUUCUAUAAUCUAAACAUUGAAGCGUAAUAUAAUACAUUUAAAAUGCGCAAGUUAAAAAUUAGAAGAUACUAUGCAAUUAACAUGUCAAUUGUGCCAAUUUAUGCAUUCAUUUUUUAUAUAAAAAUUUAAUACAUUUUACUAAUGUUAAUAUAUGGCAAUUCUAAUUCUCAUAUCAUUUGAUAUCUCCAUUCAUAUGAUAGUACAUUCCAUCUCAAUUUCCAAAUCCAUAAUUUCAAUGAACAUUUCUAUCAAUGUUCCAACUCAUUUCACAAUUGAAUAUUGUAUUUCAUAUCCAUUUCUUAUCGUUUUUCCAUUUCAAUAACAAGAAUUACAUCUCAUUUCAUAUAUAAAUUCAUCACUAAUUCAUUCAUUCAUCCAUACUCAUGAUAACAUCAAUCAUCUUUAUAUGCAUUCAAUUAGAAAUUUAUAUAAACAUGUACAUUCUUCACAUAAUUUUAAUUUGGUCCUCCAUAACCUUAAUUCAAAUCAAUCCAAAAGUAGUUCAUCAUAUUACAUUAUCUCACCUUAUGUUCCUAUUUCUUACCAUGCAACAAUAGUUCAAUAUGCAACAAUUUACUAAUAGUUUGGGUUAUAGAAACACGAACCGUAAACUUCGAGCUAUUUGUCAAUGACAUCGUCUUUUCUUUUUUCUUUUUUUUUUUUUGAGAAAUCUGGGUCGUUACAAUGUACUUCACCACCACUGAAUAACGUGAAAUACUCCAACUUUUGGAUAGCAACCAAACUUAAAUUAAAUCAUUUAUCAAGUCCAACCAAAUAACAUGAAAUUGCCCAAUUUCUGACAACAACUAAACUUCGAAUAUAGCAUGUAUUAAAUCCAAUAAUAUAGCAUGAAAUUUACCGUCUUGGAAUUUACCAGCUUUGGACAUGCAAUUAAACUCAAUUAAGACGUGAAAUUGUUCAUCUUAACCCGUAACAACAAACCAUUCAAAUGACAUAAAAUAAACAGGUAUUUGGACAUUAUUCAUCAAUGCCAAUCGAACCAAAAAAUAGGUAAAUAAUUAAUAGCAUCCACGCAAGCUGCAUGCAUUAAUAGUUCCAUCAACCAUGAAUUCUACAUGAUUUUUCCCUUGAUCUAACCAUUCUUCCCAACAUCAAGGUUCCGUCAUUUUUUAACAUCUUACUUAGUAGCAAUAAACUGAACGAUUAAGGAUAAGUUUAAUCAUUUAUCACUCAUGUUUAGAUAUAGUUUAACAGAAGCAAACAUCAAUUAAACCAGCUGAAUUGUGAACAUUUAAUAGUCAUUUUUAGGCACAUUAACAUCAACGGACAUCAAUUAAAUAAGGGAAAACUUUAGAAUAUUUAAUAAUUAUUUUCAACUAUCAUAAACGGUAGUGACCUAACUAAACUAACAAAACUUCCUGCCGCUAAUUAACAGCAUUCAGAUGAUCAAAUAAGCCUUGACACCAUCUUAAACAACAAAAGUUAAUCAUCACUUGGACUGUUUAAUUAGACCUUAAACACUACUUAAAUAGAUACCAUUUUCACCCUUGGAAUAGCUUAAAUUUGAUAAUAAAUCAUCAUUGUACAACAUUAAUUUCUGCACCAAUUAAUCAACUUAGUUUCAACAUGAAUUCGGUAAUAAGCAACAAUAUACAAAAACAUUUAUUCAUCCUUUUGGAAAACUUAACUACAACAUUUAAUUUACUUCAAUUUAUGUUUCAAGACCACAUAAUUGACAUCAGUUCACCACUUAGACUACAACACUAAAACACCAACAUCACAACCAUUAAUAUUCAUCAAUUACAACUUAAGGGUGGUGAUAUUUUCCGCAUUUAAUUAGUACAUUUAAAUGUUAAAUUAUUAAAUUCAAGUAUUAAAACAACCCAAUUUACCCCACCAUUCAGCAACAUUAACUAACAAUUUUUAACCUUCAACAGAACAUAAUAAAAAUGUCCUGGUUUGGACAGCAUCGAGCCCUGUUCUUCGACUGCAAUAAAAACCUAUAACUUUUCCUUAUUUUGAACCAUACAAAACAACAACAUGCAAACAACCAAAAUAUCCUUAACCAACUUUAACUUCAACAUGCCAUGGACAAAACUCCAUUUUUAACUGAUUAACCAAGAGGUAGCUCCAACCAAUUUCAACUGAAAUAUUAAAUAAUAUGAUAUCUUAAAUAGUAAAUUGAAAAUUUGGAUUUCAAGGACUUACCAAAAAUUUCUUCCUAGCCGAAACUGCCUACACCACUUUCCCCUUCCCUUUAACAGUUUGUCCUCCUUCUUCUUUGUUAGCAAUGCUUGAGAAUCUAGCCUUAAAAUAAGUGAAAUUUUUUGUUUGCCUUAACCUGCAAGUUGUGGAUCUCCUUUCUCUCUCGUAAGACUAAGAGAAAAUGAAGAAACUAUGAGUUGAAACUAAUGUUCUCUCCCUUCGAUUGAUAGGAUGAAAAGAGAAUAUUUUUUCUUCUCUCUCAUUCCACUAC